AUACGGAGGAUCCGAGCGUUAUCCGGAUUUAUUGGGUUUAAAGGGUGCGCAGGCGGCCAUUUAAGUCAGCGGUUAAAUCGUGGGGCUCAACCCCAUUCUGCCGUUGAUACUGGGUGGCUUGAUUGCGGUCGAGGUUGGCGGAAUUCGUUGUGUAGCGGUGAAAUGCAUAGAUAUGACGAAGAACACCGAUUGCGUAGGCAGCUGACCAGACCGCAAAUGACGCUCAUGCACGAAAGUGCGGGGAUCGAACAGGAUUAGAUACCCUGGUAGUCCGCACAGUAAACGAUGAAUACUUGUUUUCGGCGAUAUAAUGUCGGAGGCAAAGCGAAAGCGAUAAGUAUUCCGCCUGGGGAGUACGCCGGCAACGGUGAAACUCAAAUGAAUUGGCGGGG
rnacentral:rRNA from 1 species